UGGGGAAUCUUGCACAAUGGGGGAAACCCUGAUGCAGCGACGCCGCGUGAGCGAUGAAGCCCUUCGGGGUGUAAAGCUCUUUCGGCAGGAACGAUAAUGACGGUACCUGCAGAAGAAGCUGCGGCUAACUACGUGCCAGCAGCCGCGGUAAUACGUAGGCAGCGAGCGUUGUUCGGAGUUACUGGGCGUAAAGAGUGCGUAGGUGGUUCUCUAAGUUCGGUGUGAAAUCUCCCGGCUCAACUGGGAGGGUGCGCCGAAAACUGGAGGGCAGGAGUGCGGAGAGGAGAGCGGAAUUCCUGGUGUAGCGGUGAAAUGCGUAGAUAUCAGGAGGAACACCUGUGGUGCAGACGGCUCUCUGGACCGCUACUGACACUGAGGCACGAAAGCGUGGGAGCAAACAGGAUUAGAUACCCUGGUAGU
rnacentral:rRNA from 1 species